rnacentral:lncRNA from 1 species
GAAAAGUGAAGUACAAGCUGACAGCAGCGUGUAGAGCAGCACACACGUCUGUUAUUGAGGGAAAAGUUGCUGACUGAUCAUAAGGGGCUGUGCAGUGAGCAGACAUGGAAACUGUCAUUGGACUGUUAUUUAUGUUACUCGGAGUCUCUUAUGGUGUGGAAACUCACUGUGAUGGCAGACAGGAUGGAGCUCAGUGUUAUGGAGCUUUGGGAGGAACUGUGAACAUCCAGCUACUGAACAGCACCUCUGAAAUAGCUAGAUACUACUUGUUAAAGGAUUCAUUAAAAAUACUAGAUGUGAGAGGGAAUAAGGCUAUUUAUAAUACCAUAGCACACAAAUCUCUAAUCUUACCCAGUAAUGGAACAUUUAGAAUCAGUGAUCUAAGCAGGACAGACAGUGGUAAUUAUAGCCUUAUAACCUUUGAUUCAGAUGGCAGAUCAUCAGGCGAGCAGAGUUUACAGUUGUUUAUUCAAGCUCCUGUGUCCUCUGUCCUGCUGGUCUCUGAGUGUCUGUCCCAGGGAGAGAGGAGGGUGUCCUGCUCCUCUGAGAGAGGGGACAGUCCUCAGUACAGCUGGACUCUGGAUGGACGCACACUGACAGAUGCUGAGCUCCUUCCUGGAAACAAUGAGACUAACAUCAUCACUCUGAAACAGCACGUCUCCGGACGUCUGGUCUGCUCAGUCAAGAACAACGUCAAUAGUGUCUCCAAAGAACAGGAGAUACCUGCCUGUGCUGAGUGAGAACAUUGUAAGCAGUGUCUAAUAAUGAAUCAGCAAUUCAGUCACUGAAGUUUCACAGCAAUCCAGGUCAUCGUAGUCUUGAGAGCUAGAGAUACUUGUACUUCACUCUGCUACACAAGGUGCCCAAGUGCUACAGCCUGUAUUAAGAAUAAGUAAAAGGACUGUUCUGCUCCAAAACUGUUGCUAAUUUUGACCUCACGUGUAAGACCUCUUGUAGACAUUGUGAGAUAUUGCUUGUGCCUUGUGCCGAGUGUCCUACCCCAGCAGAAGGUGGUAUUGUCAUUAUUCAUGCCAGUAUUUAUAACUUUACUAAUUACAGAAUUAUCUGUUUGUGUCUCAGAAAAUCACACGCAAAUUAUCACAUACAUACGUUCACUCCUAUCUGCACAAAAUUCGAAUUAAGGCUGGCAAGCAACAGAGACACAAUGCUAUUCUUUUUUUUCUGUAUGAAUUUAUUAAAGACAGUUAAUUGAACUCCUGGAUUGCUUCAGUCUUUCUGACAGUAGAUUUAGGCCAGAUUAUACACCAGCAUUUCAACAUAUCUUUCACAUGUAGCA